rnacentral:rRNA from 1 species
GACAGAGGGUGCAAACGUUGUUCGGAAUUACUGGGCGUAAAGCGAGUGUAGGCGGUGUGGUAAGUCGGAUGUGAAAGCCCCCGGGCUCACCCGGGAAGUGCACUCGAUACUGCCACGCUAGAGUAUCGGAGAGGUUGGUGGAAUUCUCGGUGUAGAGGUGAAAUUCGUAGAUAUCGAGAGGAACACCGGUGGCGAAGGCGGCCCAAGCUGGACGAAUACUGACGCUGAGACUCGAAAGCGUGGGGAGCGAACAGG